rnacentral:lncRNA from 1 species
UGGAACAGUGAAUCCAGACUGUGCGUAGGCUGGUGCUUAAAUAUGAGAAUAAUAGGAGAUAAUUACAUAUCUGAAAAUGCCCCUUUUCCUCCGGAGAUGUGGGCAAAGUUUUGUAUUGACGAGGACACGACAACCAAUUGUUGCGAAUCAUUUCACGGCAAGUUAAAUAAAGAAAUCCCAGGGUCACAUCCCAACAUAUUUUGCUGUUGUAAAAUUCUAAUCAAUAUGCAGAUUGAUACAUAUGCGAAACUUAAGUCAUGCAAUAUGAGAAAACCAAGUAAGAAAAAUAGAUUGAAACGGGAGUACAUUGAGCGUUGUAUGUUGAAAUUAAAAACCUACGAAUACUCACGGUUCGAAUUUGUGAAACGAGUCUCUUUUAAAUUCCUGCCUUCCCGAUUAUAAGUAUCCUACUCCAUGGCCAUGUUCCAAUGACAAGUCCUGCUAAUUGGCCGUAGCAGGUGAAAAUUAAUAACCUGUUUUUAAUCAUUUCCAUUCCCUACAUUUUAAUACCCAUUGUCCGGAGAGAGACGAUAUAAACAAACAAAAUAAAAUUAAAAAAAAAAACUUUUUAAACACGCCCUUUGAGUACGCUACACUCUUUGGCCAGUCCUAAGCCUGGAUUAAGUGUGAAGGGAAAGUUUUUUUUUUUAAUUUUAUACUUUUUUCCAUCGAAAAAAUUCCAAGUUUUUCUCCAUUGAAAAUAAUCAGUUGCUUUUCAAAGUGACAACGUCCAGUGCCGAAUACCUAAUCAUUGUUUGGGCGUGAGUGUUACUGCUGAUAACUGAUUUCUCCUCAGCACUCUUAAUUUCUCAGACUUAUCUCAUGCAUUUCGCACCUAGUGUCCGCCGCUUACGCGCGGCGCGUCGCGUCGCACACGCCACUCAUUUCAAACGGGAGCCAACUCGACCCUUAGGGGAGGGGACCCUUUUUCUAACGGGAGCCAACUCGACCCUUAGGGGAGGGGACCCUUUUUCAAACGGGAGCCGAUUCGGACGUUUGGGAGCCAACUCGGGUACGUCCAGCCACGAGGCCCCGGGUCUCUCGUGAGGCAUUCGGCUCUCCCCAAACCUACUUCGGUCUGCUACAUCGCCGCAGCCACCAGCCCGUUUGAGAGGCGUCCGACCCUCCGGUCCGACUUUGCCUGGUCUAAAGUGCCCCGGGGCAAUGGCGGCUUUAGACUUAAGCGCAGGCAUCGGCGGGUACCCGAGGUUGACGGCAGAACAUGAUUGCCAGGCUUCGAUCGGUCACCCCUGAAUUUGGUCACUGACGAAUCGCGCAAAGUUGGUCACAGAUCGGGAUUUUCGGACCACUGUGUACCGGUUGAUCCUUGCACCUCGCGGUUCAAGGAUAUGGCCUAACUACGAUCAGUGGUCCUCUGAAGAUCAUCUUUCCCCUCAAGUUCCUAAGGUUCCGCUUGAUCUCUUCCGUAAGCCAGGGAUAUGGACUAAAAACCAAGGUAAUAACGUACCAAGGUUCCGCUUGAUCCAAGGCUGCAUGGAUAUCGGCUAACAUCCAAGGUGUGAACAGCCCUGCCGAAGCAGAGCCCCGAGGAAGCGCUUGAUCCAUGCCCGAGCGUAUUAGGGAUACUAGGGGGUUACGCCCCCUGGCCGCUACGCGGCCCAACCCCUGAAGGCGCUCCGCGCCGUCAAAGAGGCCGCUUCGCGGCCCAUUUUUGUAGCCGCAGUGUUUAUAAAAUUCAUGUUUUCAUGAUAAUAUUUAUUCAACAAAUCUCGGCAAAACUUUUAUGACGGAAGUAGUAAGAACUCAAUGGACUAAUUCAAAUGCCCCGUCCCGACUCGACGCAGCGUCUGCCUUCUCACUUUGUAUCUGCUGUUAAAUCUGCUGUUAAUAUUAAUAGAAAAUGAUCGGCAAUCAAGUAUAUUGACCAAUGCUACAAUCAAAGCCGGAAGAAUGAGGAAAAAUUGAGUAAAAACCUUAGGCCGGGCGGCUCCGGUUAUUGGGAUUUCCCCCUUGCCC